rnacentral:rRNA from 1 species
UACGAAGGGGGCGAGCGUUAUUCGGAAUCACUGGGCGUAAAGCGUGCGUAGGCUGUCUAGAAAGUUGGAAGUGAAAGCCCAGGGCUCAACCCUGGAAUUGCUUUCAAAAACUACUAGACUCGGAUUUGGGAGAGGAUAGCGGAAUUGUCGGUGUAGCAGUGAAAUGCGUAGAUAUUGACAGGAACACCAGUGGCGCAAGCGGCUAUCUGGACCAACAUCGACGCUGAGGCACGAAAGCGUGGGGGAUCAAACAGG